rnacentral:lncRNA from 1 species
GAAUGGGACCCAGUUAGGAACGAAGGAGUGGAUUGAGAAUGUGGGAAAAAGUGAGAAACUUGGGAGAGGAAUGAGACAAAGGAUCGAAGUAAGAAAAAAGGAAAUUGGAUGAGGGUUCUGAACUGGAGAUGAAAGGGUUAUAUUGAAAGUAUGGUGAUUAAUGAGUGAAAUUUGAUGAAGAUGAUGGGGCUAGUGGAUCUCAUGACGAGAGAGAGAGACUGAGAGAGGUAAGAGAGAUUUUAUUUAAAACUUAAAAUAAAUCUACCCUUAAAAUAAAUCCAUAUAAUCAAUUUUUACUCUGCCACGUACUUUUCAAUGUCAGCUCAGCAUGUUACAUCGCAACAAAGUUACCGUUUAUAGCAAUUAACGGAAAGGAUAUUAUUGAAUCAAUUUUAUAAAAUUAGGGACUCAAUUGAACACUUCCAACAUAAAAGGACCCAAUUGAAACGAAUUCACAUAAAUAGGGACCUCCAAACCUAUUAAACCUAAUAUAAACAAUUCAAACACAGAUCCAAAACUUACUUAUCAUAUUUUUUUAAAAUAAUUAAAUUAAAAAAAA